GCAUAUGAUUGUGUGGUUUGUUAUGGAAACCGUGGCAUGAAGAAGUUCAGUUCACAUACCCUUCGGUAUGAUAAUUCUAUGGGUGUGUGGUAAGAGUUGGUAGUUAUAAUUGAAAAAUUGAGCUUUAAAGAAGCUUACACAGUUUUGGAAAAAUUGGGAUGACUUGUUCUCCCUCUGAUGUAGAGAAAUUGGAGAUGAGUUCCGUUCUGCUUUGUACAAUAAUGUCAUGAUGGCUGUUCAUAUAUUUCCCUGGCUUUAAUUACGGCAACCACACUUCUCGAUUCCUUUGCGAAAGAUUAGCCGUGUUUAACAAAGUUCUUCAAGGCAUCACUUGAAUGUAAAAAUUUGAAUAUUUUCUUAGGUUGUAAUUUUCGAAAACAUUAUGUAUAAAUAUAAGUAGUUUUGAGCAUUUAUAAAUUGUAUUCAUUGUAGUAUUCUAAGAUUUGAACUCAGUCACUUAGAAAAGAAACUUAGAGCAUGACUAAGGUAGCAACAAAUUGAGGUUAGGUUCCAUUGAUUUGUAUGUACUUAUUUUUUAUGUCCAGGAAAAUGACGAUGAAACAUAAAACUUGAUUCUAAAGUAAGUUACAAUAUACAAUGCAUAAAGUCUUUUUUCUUUGAUAAAUGGAUGUCUAUCUAAUUGAAUUUUUAUAGAGUUAAUUUAGUUUUUUUUUAUGAUAUUUUAAUUACUAUCUCUGGUUUUAGAAGUCUCUUUAAUGACGGGUGAGAACUUAAGUCAAAUUAUAUUUCUAGAUUGUUGAUCAAUAAUUAAUAUAUAUUUAGAGAAAUUGGAGAUGAGUUACUUUCUAAUUUGUACAAUAAUGUCAUGAUGACCGUUCAUAUAUUUCCUAGUUGUUAAUUGCGGCAACCACACUUCUCAUUCCUUUGCAAAAGAUUAGCCAGUAAGAUUAUCAACCUCUUUCUUCAUGUAUUAUUUUUAUUUAUGUUCAUUGAUCGCCAGACAUACAAAUUGAAUUAUGAACCUAUUUUUCUGCAGUGUGCGAAGCAUAUUUUUCUUCUAAUAAAUUCAAUUCAUUUAAAUAUUUCUUUAUUGAUUUUGUCAGCAUAUUUUUCUUGAUUUUGGUUUAAUCUUUGUUGUUGCAGGUUCAAUUCCUUCUGGUUAUAUCUUUCGCUGGUUUGAUCUUCUUGUAUUUUAUUCUUAUUGUUUUCUAGUUGUUGAUUUUGGUUUCUUGAUUUUGGUUCUUGCUGGUUUCGAUAUGCGGCUAUUAUUUAGAUUUUAACGGUUUUUUCUUUUAUUGUUUUAAUGAUCUGUAGCUAUUAUUUAGAUUUUAAUUCACUGUUCUUCCCAGUACACUUUUACGUCAGUUAUUUGAAUAAUUUUCUUCGGUUGAUCAUGUCUAGUGAUAGUAGGCUGGACUUCUGAUGUUUGUAAGGUGUUGUAGAGAUGUUUUGCGAAACUAGAUGCAUGAUUAUCAAUUUUUAACUCGUGGUUAAAUAUAGUCAAUUUUAUUUCUUCAUUGAAAUUUAUUACUAUUUUGAUUUAAUUUCUGGCUUGAUUGCCACACAUUGAAUUGAAAUAUAGACCUGUUUUCUGCAGUGUUGUGUAUCAAUUCUCAAGUUUGUUUUGGCUGGGAUUGUGAAUUAUUUUCAUUUCUUUUCUGGAGUUAGAUUGUCUAGUUUAGUUGAUUACGUUACAGGUGAGAUACGUCUUUUGAUGUGGAGUGAGGGUUACAACUGAAAGGUUUUGGCUUAGGGUUUCUUUACCCAUCAAUGCCCAAUUUUCUUAACCAGAAUACGACUUUUUUUAUUUAUUUUUUGAAAUUUUGGUUUUCAAACCUGUAAUCUGGCAGUGCGGAAGUUCAUACUAUUAUGGAGAGAUUGAGAAAGAUUUGUGAGCCUUUCCUAUUAAAUGCUGCUCGACAACAUGGUGUGGAGAAUUAUGUUACUCUUUGUUUUUCUUGGGUUUUUUCACAAAUAGUCAAUGUAAUUUUACUGUACGUAUUUCAAAAAUAUUUUUCACAAAUAUUUUAGUUGUACAUAAAAAUGGUCAUUUUGUAUUUACAUAUCUAAUAUCUUAUUGUUUUGGGAUAUUUGUCUUUUGAUGGAGUGCCAUGGGGUUUCGGAUUUUUUGUGUUGCUGUUUCAGCAAGAUUCUAGAGUAUUGAAGCAUACAAGAUUCUCGAGUGUACCUUUUCACUCAUCGAGGACGUGGAAGUAAGAAUAACUUGGUUUUGCAUUUUUUUUGUUCUGAUGAUUUGCCACUUCCUUUGUUAUAAUGUUUUUUUGUGUUCUUUUCAAUUGUGAUACUUAAGAGUAAUGUUAAGAAUAAUAGCAUUAUCUCUAGUUGUACAAAACUCCUUCUGGUAUAGGGUAAAUACUAAUUUUGCAUUGGACAACUGGAAUCUACAAUUGGUACAUGAACUCCUUCUGGUAUAGGGGUAAAGCCUUAGAUAAUUUAAGACAUGCAUUGAUGAGAAUUGGUAUAUGUAAUUUUCAUGUUUCUUUGUCUUUCAAGAAUAAUUUAAGACAUGCAUUUAUGUGUUUUGUAGUGAGUUGAAGUUUAGAUAUCUAGAACGUUGAGCCUUGUUGGAUGGAUAAGAAAGGGAAACCCCUAGAUAAAUCAAAUUUCUUCAGAGUCAUUAUAAUUGUUAUUUCUGGAUGUAGAUCGCAAAUCAUACAAAUGAAUUGUGAACUUAUUUUUCUACAGUGUGGUUUGUCAAUAUGAUAACCUUCUUCGAAGUAUGGAACCUUGAGUUUUGAUUGAGUGAUCUCUAGUAUUAUCUUUUGAUUUUGCAGGGGUUGUAAUAUGCGAAACACAUAAUUCCUUCUGGUCGUAUCUUACUGGUUGAUAUUUUCAUUUUCCCUCUUUUCUCCCUGGUUAUUUUGGUUUCUUGGUUGAGGUUUUAUUUGGAGUUUGAUGUUCUCAUUUUAAUUAUAUGUGCUGCUAUUGUUGAGUUAUUAGAUCUUUGUUUGUUUGCUCUUCUAAUUAUUCUUUUACGUCAAUGUCAAUUGUGAUACACAAGAAUAAUCAAGGUAUGCUCUUAAAAAGGAAGACAAUUGUGAUUCUCAAUAGAUUGGAUAAGAUGGAGAACUGCUCCAGAUAUAAUAAUCAAAUUUCUUCAGUUAGUCGUUCUUCAUUUUUUAAUUUCUGGCUUGGAUCAGAAGAAAAAAGAUUAUAAUUGUGAGAAUAUUUUUCUGCAGCGCGAUUUGUGAAACUAAUAAUGUUCUACCUGGGGUGUGCUUUGAUGUUUGAUUUUUGGAUCUCUGUGCAAAAGUUUACAUGAUUCUUGAAAUUUUGGGAGAAAAAGCACGAAAAAAGAUAGAAGAGUAGCAUAAUUUUGCAAAUCAUGUUGCAUAUCAUCAGAACAAAUAAAUUGCCUAUGAUUGUGUGGUUUGCUAUGGAAACCGUGGCAUGAAGAAGUUCAUUUCACAGACCCUUCGCAAGAUUAUGUAGUAUUUGAAGCAUACAAGAUUCUAGAACCUUUGCCCUCUCGAAGGAUGUGGAAUUCAGGAUAACUUGGUUUGGCA